rnacentral:rRNA from 1 species
UGUGUAGGCGGUUGCUUAAGUUUGGUGUGAAAUCUCCCGGCUCAACUGGGAGGGUGCGCCGAAUACUGAGUGACUAGAGUGCGGGAGAGGAGAGUGGAAUUCCUGGUGUAGCGGUGAAAUGCGUAGAUAUCAGGAGGAACACCGGUGGUGUAGACGGCUCUCUGGACCGUAACUGACGCUGAGACACGAAAGCGUGGGUAGCAAACAGGAUUAGAUACCCUGGUAGUCCACGCCCUAAACGAUGCAUAUUUGGUGUGGGCAGUUCAGUCUGUCCGUGCCGGAGCUAACGCGUUAAAUAUGCCGCCUGGGGAGUACAGUCGCAAGGCUGAA